UGGGGAAUAUUGGACAAUGGGGGAAACCCUGAUCCAGCGACGCCGCGUGGGUGAAGAAGGCCUGCGGGUUGUAAAGCCCUUUCGGUGGGGAAGAAAAGUCGUCGUCUAAUAAACGAUGGCCUUGACGUAACCCACUAAAGAAGCACCGGCUAACUCUGUGCCAGCAGCCGCGGUAAUACAGAGGGUGCGAGCGUUAAUCGGAAUUACUGGGCGUAAAGCGCGCGUAGGCGGCUUGGCAAGUCGGAUGUGAAAUCCCCAGGCUUAACCUGGGAACUGCAUUCGAGACUGCUUUGCUAGAGUAUGGGAGAGGGAAGUGGAAUUUCCGGUGUAGCGGUGAAAUGCGUAGAUAUCGGAAGGAACAUCAGUGGCGAAAGCGACUUCCUGGACCAAUACUGACGCUCAUGUGCGAAAGCGUGGGGAGCAAACAGGAUUAGAUACCCCCGUAGUCC
rnacentral:rRNA from 1 species